rnacentral:rRNA from 1 species
ACGUUAAUCGGGGCAGGGUGAGUCGACCCCUAAGGCGAGGCCGAAAGGCGUAGUCGAUGGGAAACGGGUUAAUAUUCCCGUACUUGGUGUUACUGCGAAGGGGGGACGGAGAAGGCUAUGUUGGCCGGGCGACGGUUGUCCCGGUUUAAGCGUGUAGGUGUGUGUUCCAGGUAAAUCCGGUUCACUUUAACACUGAGGCGUGACGACGAGGCACUACGGUGCUGAAGCAACAAAUGCCCUGCUUCCAGGAAAAGCCUCUAAGCAUCAGGUAACAUCAAAUCGUACCCCAAACCGACACAGGUGGUCAGGUAGAGAAUACCAAGGCGCUUGAGAGAACUCGGGUGAAGGAACUAGGCAAAAUGGUGCCGUAACUUCGGGAGAAGGCACGCUGACACGUAGGUGAAGUGAUUUACUCAUGGAGCUGAAGUCAGUCGAAGAUACCAGCUGGCUGCAACUGUUUAUUAAAAACACAGCACUGUGCAAACACGAAAGUGGACGUAUACGGUGUGACGCCUGCCCGGUGCCGGAAGGUUAAUUGAUGGGGUCAGCGCAAGCGAAGCUCCUGAUCGAAGCCCCGGUAAACGGCGGCCGUAACUAUAACGGUCCUAAGGUAGCGAAAUUCCUUGUCGGGUAAGUUCCGACCUGCACGAAUGGCGUAAUGAUGGCCAGGCUGUCUCCACCCGAGACUCAGUGAAAUUGAACUCGCUGUGAAGAUGCAGUGUACCCGCGGCAAGACGGAAAGACCCCGUGAACCUUUACUAUAGCUUGACACUGAACAUUGAGCCUUGAUGUGUAGGAUAGGUGGGAGGCUUUGAAGUGUGGACGCCAGUCUGCAUGGAGCCGACCUUGAAAUACCACCCUUUAAUGUUUGAUGUUCUAACGUGGACCCGUGAUCCGGGUUGCGGACAGUGUCUGGUGGGUAGUUUGACUGGGGCGGUCUCCUCCUAAAGAGUAACGGAGGAGCACGAAGGUUGGCUAAUCCUGGUCGGACAUCAGGAGGUUAGUGCAAUGGCAUAAGCCAGCUUGACUGCGAGCGUGACGGCGCGAGCAGGUGCGAAAGCAGGUCAUAGUGAUCCGGUGGUUCUGAAUGGAAGGGCCAUCGCUCAACGGAUAAAAGGUACUCCGGGGAUAACAGGCUGAUACCGCCCAAGAGUUCAUAUCGACGGCGGUGUUUGGCACCUCGAUGUCGGCUCAUCACAUCCUGGGGCUGAAGUAGGUCCCAAGGGUAUGGCUGUUCGCCAUUUAAAGUGGUACGCGAGCUGGGUUUAGAACGUCGUGAGACAGUUCGGUCCCUAUCUGCCGUGGGCGCUGGAGAACUGAGGGGGGCUGCUCCUAGUACGAGAGGACCGGAGUGGACGCAUCACUGGUGUUCGGGUUGUCAUGCCAAUGGCACUGCCCGGUAGCUAAAUGCGGAAGAGAUAAGUGCUGAAAGCAUCUAAGCACGAAACUUGCCCCGAG